rnacentral:tRNA from 1 species
CGGGGCGUAGCGCAGCCUGGUAGCGCACAUGAAUGGGGUUCAUGAGGUCGGAGGUUCAAAUCCUCUCGCCCCGACCA